rnacentral:rRNA from 1 species
GGACUUGUAUGAAUGGUUGGACGAAAUAUUAACUGUCUCAUUAAGAUUUAAUUAAAAUUUAAAUUUUAAGUUAAAAUGCUUAAAUUUAUUUACAGGACGAGAAGACCCUAUAGAUCUUUAUUUGUUAUUUUAUUUAUAUUGGUUUGGUUUAUUUUUCUUUUAUAUUAUUUCAUUUUUUGUUGGGGUGACAUGGAGAUUAACUCUUUAUUUUAUUUUACAAUUAUUUUUGUUUUAUUGACCUUUUAUUAUUGUUAUAAGAUUUAGAUACCUUAGGGAUAACAGCGUAAUUCUGUUUGAGAGUUCAAAUCGACAAUGGAGAUUGCGACCUCGAUGUUGGAUUAAGAUUAUAGUUAGGUGUAGAUGUUUAACUAUUAGGUCUGUUCGACCUUUAAAUUCUUACAUGAUCUGAGUUCAAACCGGAG